UUAAGUGAAAGCAUAAAUUAAUGCAUCUAACUGUUAAUUAGAAGAAUGUUUAAAACUCACUUAA
rnacentral:tRNA from 1 species